rnacentral:rRNA from 1 species
AUUGAACGCUGGCGGCAUGCCUUACACAUGCAAGUCGAACGGCAGCACGGGAGCAAUCCUGGUGGCGAGUGGCGAACGGGUGAGUAAUAUAUCGGAACGUGCCCAGUCGUGGGGAUAACGUAGCGAAAGCUACGCUAAUACCGCAUACGAUCUAUGGAUGAAAGCGGGGGAUCGCAAGACCUCGCGCGAUUGGAGCGGCCGAUAUCAGAUUAGGUAGUUGGUGAGGUAAAGGCUCACCAAGCCGACGAUCUGUAGCUGGUCUGAGAGGACGACCAGCCACACUGGGACUGAGACACGGCCCAGACUCCUACGGGAGGCAGCAGUGGGGAAUUUUGGGACAAUGGGCGCAAGCCUGAUCCAGCAAUGCCGCGUGCAGGAUGAAGGCCUCGG